UGGGUCUAAUACCGGAUAUGACUCCUCAUCGCAUGGUGGGGGGUGGAAAGCUUUAUUGUGGUUUUGGAUGGACUCGCGGCCUAUCAGCUUGUUGGUGAGGUAAUGGCUCACCAAGGCGACGACGGGUAGCCGGCCUGAGAGGGUGACCGGCCACACUGGGACUGAGACACGGCCCAGACUCCUACGGGAGGCAGCAGUGGGGAAUAUUGCACAAUGGGCGAAAGCCUGAUGCAGCGACGCCGCGUGAGGGAUGACGGCCUUCGGGUUGUAAACCUCUUUCAGUAGGGAAGAAGCGAAAGUGACGGUACCUGCAGAAGAAGCGCCGGCUAACUACGUGCCAGCAGCCGCGGUAAUACGUAGGGCGCAAGCGUUAUCCGGAAUUAUUGGGCGUAAAGAGCUCGUAGGCGGUUUGUCGCGUCUGCUGUGAAAGACCGGGGCUCAACUCCGGUUCUGCAGUGGGUACGGGCAGACUAGAGUGAUGUAGGGGAGACUGGAAUUCCUGGUGUAGCGGUGAAAUGCGCAGAUAUCAGGAGGAACACCGAUGGC
rnacentral:rRNA from 1 species